AUGUACCUUUCGUACACUGCGGUUCUGAGCCCACCGUCCGCACCCACCUGAUAACGCUCGCUACGUAGUGGUACAGACUCUUAGUC
rnacentral:sRNA from 1 species